rnacentral:pre_miRNA from 1 species
UUUCUACUCCCUCCGUCUGAAAAUACUUGUCAUCAAAAUGGAUAAAAAGAGAUGUAUCUAAAACUAAAAUACGUCUAGAUACAUUUCCUUUUAUCCAUUUUGAUGACAAGUAUUUCUGGACGGAGGGAGUAUUUG